AAAGUCGUAACAAGGUCUCCGUUGGUGAACCAGCGGAGGGAUCAUUACCGAGUCCUGAACUCCCAACCCUUUGCGAACCUUACCAUCGUUGCUUCGGCGGGAUCGCCCCGUGGACCGGCCGUCACGGCCGGGCCCGGAUCCAGGCGCCCGCCGGGGGACCCAGACUCUUGUAUUUACAGUGGGAUAAUCUGAGUACUACACAAAUAAGCAAUCAAAACUUUCAGCAACGGAUCUCUUGGUUCUG
rnacentral:misc_RNA from 1 species